GGGAAAUCAGUUCCAGUCUUCAGUGCUGCAGAGUCCAGAUAAUAAUUCCCAGCCUCUCACCAGUUACUCUGCAUGGGAAGAGGAUUACACCUCUGACAACUCAGUGAGGAGUUGCUGGCAGCAAGCAGAGCAGCACUGCCUGCAGAGGUGCUUCAUGGUCUGGUCAGCUCAAACUCAACACCAUGUGAAGGCCCAGCAGCACUGCAGGCGUGUUCGGCUGUCUCGAGCCUUUCUCAGCUGGCACCAGUGGGUCAUGGAAAAUAAGAACCAAGAAGCAGCAGCAGCACUAAAACAUGGAGUUCAUUGUGUCCAGGUGGCUUUCAGCCUGUGGAAAAGGAGACUGGCCCAGAAAGUGGAAGCUGACCGGAG